AUCUAGCCCCGAUUGUAGUGAAAAUCCUUUUGUGGCGGGGUUCGCCACAAAAGAUUGUAACGAAAAGCGGGAUCAAGC
rnacentral:sRNA from 1 species